rnacentral:rRNA from 1 species
CUAUGCGCCUUGCCAGCCCGCUCAGGUGUGCCAGCCGCCGCGGUAAUACGGAGGAUGCGAGCGUUAUCCGGAUUUAUUGGGUUUAAAGGGUGCGUAGGCGGCUUAUUAAGUCAGGGGUGAAAGACGGUGGCUCAACCAUCGCAGUGCCCUUGAUACUGAUGAGCUUGAAUGGACUAGAGGUAGGCGGAAUGUGACAAGUAGCGGUGAAAUGCAUAGAUAUGUCACAGAACACCGAUUGCGAAGGCAGCUUACUAUGGUCUUAUUGACGCUGAGGCACGAAAGCGUGGGGAUCAAACAGG